rnacentral:rRNA from 1 species
CCUACGGGCGGCAGCAGUGGGGAAUAUUGCACAAUGGGGGAAACCCUGAUGCAGCGACGCCGCGUGAGUGAAGAAGUAUUUCGGUAUGUAAAGCUCUGUCAGCAGGGAAGAAAAUGACGGUACCUGACCAAGAAGCCCCGGCUAACUACGUGCCAGCAGCCGCGGUAAUACGUAGGGGGCAAGCGUUAUCCGGAUUUACUGGGUGUAAAGGGAGCGUAGACGGCAGGGCAAGUCUGGAGUGAAGGGCGGGGGCUCAACCCCCGGACUACUCUGGAAACUGCCAGGCUGGAGUGCAGGAGAGGUAAGUGGAAUGCCUAGUGUAGCGGUGAAAUGCGUAGAUAUUAGGAGGAACAACAAGGGCGAAGGCGGCUUACUGGACUGUAACUGACGUUGAGGCUCGAAAGCGUGGGGAGCAAACAGGAUUAGAUACCCUGGUAGUC